AAGAAUAAAUACUCUGUCAAUUUAUAAUGAUAGCUUGUGAAUCAUCCUCCCUAAAGCUCAAAACUUUCUGGAAUAAUUUGCUCCAAUUCAAGAAAAAUUAGAAUAUAGUAUUAUCCAUGCGUCUUGUUCUCGCUAAACAGUGCAUACUAUGAUUUUUUUUUCUUAACCUCGCGCUGGGAAACAGGAAAGAUAAGGAGCUCAAGUAUGGGAUUCUUGGCUCUGUGUUGUGAUGCGAAUGUAGAAGAAAACUACUGCAACUAUGAUCACCAUGAAUACACCAAGAAUCACUUGUCCACCAGUUGCAGACUUAUCAGGAUGAUGCGAUGCCAUACGUCUGAUCCCUAGAUUUCCGGCUAUAAUCCUACCUUCUGAUGGAGCUGGACUUGGAACAGGUAGCAGCAUGAAUCCUAACAUCCACAGAUUGGCCAACACAAUGCAAAAGAGAAGAAAACGAGCCAUAAAACUUCAUUGUACUGCUAAACCAUGCUAUUUGGCUCUGCUCUGAAAGGAGCUGAUUUUGGCUACUUCCCUGCAGCACUUCUUGACGCUAAGGGGCUUAGGUUACUCAUUAGGCAGCAACUAUCAUUGUUCUUUUUUGGUGUUUUUAUUGCUUUCUUGUCAAUUAAGGCUGUGGGAUUUGAGUGUUUAUUUGUAAUAUUUCUAAGGAAGUUGGUAAAGAGUAAAUCAUUAUGAAAUUUCCAGUA